GACGAACGCUGGCGGCGUGCUUAACACAUGCAAGUCGAGCGGUAAGGCCCUUUCGGGGGUACGACGAGCGGCGAACGGGUGAGUAACACGUGGGUGACCUGCCUCAGCUCUGGGAUAAGCCUGGGAAACCGGGUCUAAUACCGGAUAUGACUCCAUGACGCAUGUUGUGGGGUGGAAAGCCUUGUGCGGCUGAGGAUGGGCCCGCGGCCUAUCAGCUUGUUGGUGGGGUGAUGGCCUACCAAGGCGACGACGGGUAGCCGGCCUGAGAGGGCGACCGGCCACACUGGGACUGAGACACGGCCCAGACUCCUACGGGAGGCAGCAGUGGGGAAUCUUGCGCAAUGGGCGAAAGCCUGACGCAGCGACG
rnacentral:rRNA from 1 species